GAUGAACGCUGGCGGCGUGCCUAACACAUGCAAGUCGAACGUGAGGCAGAGGUACUUCGGUAAAUCUGCUGAAAGUGGCGAACGGGUGAGUAACACGUAGGUAACCUGCCUUAGAGUGGGGGAUAACCAUUGGAAACGAUGGCUAAUACCGCAUAGGCUUGUUGGUAUGGGAAUAUCGACAGGUAAAGUUUCGGCGCUCUAAGAGGGGCCUGCGGUCGAUUAGUUAGUUGGUGGGGUAAAGGCCUACCAAGGCGACGAUCGAUAGCUGGUCUGAGAGGACGAUCAGUCACACGGGAACUGAGACACGGUCCCGACUCCUACGGGGGGCAGCAGUGAGGAAUAUUGGGCAAUGGGGGGAACCCUGACCCAGCAACGCCGCGUGGAGGAAGAAGGCUCUUGGGUCGUAAACUCCUUUUGACGGGGAAGAGG
rnacentral:rRNA from 1 species